rnacentral:lncRNA from 1 species
AUAGCAUAUAAUCUGACCAAAUUUGGUAAAGGCACCAAAAAUUGGAAUGGAUAUAAUAUUCUUCAUCAUCUACAACACCUCAAGAAAUGAUUUUCAAAUAGGAAAAAGAACAUGAAGUAUAAUUUCGUUAUCAAACAGGAAAAAGAACAUGAAGUAUAAUUUCGUUAUUGCACAAGAUGGAAUGCAGUGUGGGGGAAUAAGUAAGUAUAAAGCCACUAAUAACCCCUAAUCUGGUGUAGAAACUGGAAGCUAUUAUAUGUCAGGAAAUCUCGUACUAUACACCAUACCGUAUAUUAGCAAUGAAAUCAGAAAGUUCCACUCAAACAUGUGAUCA